AACGAACGCUGGCGGCAUGCCUAACACAUGCAAGUCGAACGAAGGCUUCGGCCUUAGUGGCGCACGGGUGCGUAACGCGUGGGAAUCUACCCUUUGGUUCGGAAUAACAGCUGGAAACGGCUGCUAAUACCGGAUGAUGACGAAAGUCCAAAGAUUUAUCGCCAGAGGAUGAGCCCGCGUUGGAUUAGGUAGUUGGUGGGGUAAAGGCCUACCAAGCCGACGAUCCAUAGCUGGUCUGAGAGGAUGAUCAGCCACACUGGGACUGAGACACGGCCCAGACUCCUACGGGAGGCAGCAGUGGGGAAUAUUGGACAAUGGGCGCAAGCCUGAUCCAGCAAUGCCGCGUGAGUGAUGAAGGCCCUAGGGUUGUAAAGCUCUUUUACCCGGGAAGAUAAUGACUGUACCGGGAGAAUAAGCCCCGGCUAACUCCGUG
rnacentral:rRNA from 1 species